rnacentral:rRNA from 1 species
UCACACAAAACAAGAAAAACUAUAAACACUAAGCAUUCCACCGAAACCAGUAUAACAAACAACUUUUCUACGAAUAAACCACUGCAAAGGUUACAUCAAACUAAAACAAUAAAAGAAGGCCUAAACCAACGUACCUCUUGCAUCAUGUAGCUGCAACACAAAAUAGUGUAUCCUACCUCCCGAAAAGUGAAGAGCUACUAUUGGCACUAAAAACUUAAUGUAACAAUAUUAAGAGACAGCCAACAGUAGAGGCCAAAUACCUUACGAAUCACCUGAUACCUGGCUGCUCCUAAAAGACAUAUAAGUGUCCCCUCACAGGAACCAACAACAAUAACUCAACCUGUAAAGGAAAGCUUAACGAGGACAAGCUCGUUAAGCCACACAGUAACAUAUACCAAAUACAAUCACUCUGUAAAAAGGCCCAAAAACAGCCAACAAUAUCCGUUAAAGGAAACAACUACCACAGCCAAACAACACAAUCCAACCAACUAAUUCUAGCUAACUAAGGAGCCUUAAAAUACAAUCAAACUUUAUAGUGAACUGGCAACUAUUAGUAUCAAACCAAUCAAAGAAUCAAACAUCCUUAAAAGCUAUUUUACCAAAAAAUUAGUAAAUUAACCGUAGUAAAUGAACUCGGCAAAACCCUUCUUUGCCUGUUUACCAAAAACAUCGUCUUUUGUCUAUCCACCAUAAAAGAUACCGCCUGCCCAAUGACAAUCGUUAAAUGGCCGCGUUAGCGUGAGCGUGCUAAGGUAGCGUAAUAAUUAGCUCCCCAAUUAGGAGCCAGUGAAUGGCAAAACGAAGAAGAACUUUAUCCACUACGAACAGAAAAUUUUCCCUCUAAGUGAAAAGGCUUAGAUAAAAGAAAAAGACAAAAAGACCCCGCGGAACUCCCUGUACCACCAUAGCUGUACAACACAGCUAGACAGCCACCCAGGUCGGUUGGGGCAACCCUGGAGCAGAACCAACCUCCACAAGCAAAAACUAACUACCAUAUAAAACUUGAUAUGGACCAUAUAAAGCAGUUACCCCGGGGAUAACAGCGUAAUCCAGUUUAAGAGUACAAAUCGAAAACUGGGUUUGCGACCUCGAUGUUGGCUUAGGGAAAACUUGGCGCAACCGCUAAGUAAUUGCCAGUCUGUUCGACUGCAAACCCCCUACAUGAGCUGAGUUAAGACCGGCGAGAGCUAGGUUGGACUCUAUCUUUACCUUUCUAACUAAUCCCUUUAUUGUACGAAAGGACCUAAAGGGACACACUCAUUAAGUGAUACCUGAAUAUAUUAAACCUACAUACCCCAUUAAUUUA